UCAUAUGCUUGUCUCAAAGCUUAAGCCAUGCAAGUGUAAGUUCACGCCACGCAUUAGAAUGGGUGAAACCGCGAAUGGCUGAGGAACCGGACCUAAUCCUCGGGACCGUAAUCCUCCUCAGACGCGAUGGAUAACUGUGGCAAUUCUAGAGCUAAUACAUGUGACACAGGCCGNNNNNNNNNNNNNNNNNNNNNNNNNNNNNNNNNNNNNNNNNNNNNNNNNNNNNNNNNNNNNNNNNNNNAAACGGCUACCACAUCCAAGGAAGGCAGCAGGCGCGCAAAUUACCCACUCCCGGCACGGGGAGGUAGUGACGAAAAAUAACGACGCGGGACUCUGUCGAGGCCCCGCGAUCGGAAUGAGUACACUUCAAAUCCGUUAACGAGGACCAACCGGAGGGCAAGUCUGGUGCCAGCAGCCGCGGUAAUUCCAGCUCCGGUAGCGUAUAUUAAAGUUGUUGCGGUUAAAAAGCUCGUAGUCCGAACUCGGGUUCGUGGUCGCUCACGCGGCCCCGGGGCGGCGGCGCCAUCGUCCAUCGUUGACUUUGGUCGUCCGUUCGCAUUCCCGGCCCUUUCCGCCGGUGUCGAUCGCUGUAUAGACGGCCGCGGGCUCAGCUGGUGUCUGGCGCGUUGCGGCGUGCGUCUCUUUCCCGUUCGUGGUUCGGGCCGGCUUCGGUCGACUCGUCCGCGUCGGGUUGUCUCGUGCGUCGUUUCCGGGUCUUCGGGCUCCCUCUCGCCACGCAAACCCGCGUCGCCGUCGGCGAUUUCUCCUCCAAGGGUGCUCUUAACCGAGUGUCCGCGGCGGCCGGUACGUUCACUUUGAAAAAAUUAGAGUGCUCAGAGCGGGCUGUUCAAGCUUGCAUACGAUAAGCAUGGAAUGAUGGAAGAGGGCCUCGUCUACGUCUGUCGGUCUCCGUCUACGGCGAGGCAAUGAUCGAAGGGAGCGGUCGGGGCCACUCGUAUUGCGACGUUAGAGGUGAAAUUCUUGGAUCGUCGCAAGACGAACUGCAGCGAUGGCGUGUGGCAAGCACGUUUUCCUCGAUCAAGAGCGAAAGUCGGAGGUUCGAAGACGAUCAGAUACCGUCGUAGUUCCGACCGUAAACGAUGCCGACCGGCGAUCCGCCGGCGUUCGCUUCCAUGACCCGGCGGGUAGCCUGCGGGAAACCAGAGUUCGGUUCCGGGGGGAGUAUGGUUGCAAAGCUGAAACUUAAAGGAAUUGACGGAAGGGCACCACCAGGAGUGGAGCCUGCGGCUUAAUUUGACUCAACACGGGAAAACUCACCCGGUCCGGACACCGGUAGGAUUGACAGAUCGAUAGCUCUUUCUCGAUUCGGUGGGUGGUGGUGCAUGGCCGUUCUUAGUUGGUGGAGCGAUCCGUCUGGUUGAUUCCGAUAACGAACGAGACUCCGGCCUGCUAACUAGUGCGCCGAUGUGAGUGCGGCCCUUCGCUGGUCGUGUGCGGGCGUGCCGGUUGCCGAUUUUUGAUCGCGCUCCGGUCGCGUCCGGGUCGGUUUCUCACGCACUUCUUAGAGGGACGGGUGGCAGAAAGCCACACGAGGCGGAGCRAUAACAGGUCUGUGAUGCCCUUAGAUGUCCGGGGCCGCACGCGCGCUACACUGGAGGUAUCAGCGGGGACUUCGCCCCGGCCCGAGAGGGUCGGGAAACCUCUCAACCACCUCCCGUGAUAGGGAUCGGGGCCUGUAACCAACCCCGUGAACGAGGAAUUCCCGGUAGGCGCGGGUCAACAGCCCGCGUCGAUCACGUCCCUGCCCUUUGUACACACCGCCCGUCGCUACUACCGAUCGAACGGUCCGGUGAGGUCCUCGGAUCUGGCCGACGACGCCGCCGGGCGCGGGCCUUCGCGGGUCCCGCCUCGGCGUUCGAUGCCUGGAGAAGACGACCGAACCCGAUCGUUUAGAGGAAGUAAAAGUCGUAACAAGGUUUCC
rnacentral:rRNA from 1 species